GAGUAAUACUUGGGAAUGUGCCUUUACGUGGGGGAUAACUAUUGGAAACGAUAGCUAAUACCGCAUAAUGUCUACGGACCAAAGGGGGGACUUGUUCCUCUCGCGUAAAGAGCAGCCCAAGCGAGAUUAGCUAGUUGGUGUGGUAAAGGCGCACCAAGGCGACGAUCUCUAGCUGUUCUGAGAGGAAGAUCAGCCACACUGGAACUGAGACACGGUCCAGACUCCUACGGGAGGCAGCAGUGGGGAAUAUUGCACAAUGGGGGAAACCCUGAUGCAGCCAUGCCGCGUGUGUGAAGAAGGCCUUCGGGUUGUAAAGCACUUUCAGUCGUGAGGAAAGGGAUACGGUUAAUACCCGUAUUCUGUGACGUUAGCGACAGAAGAAGCACCGGCUAACUCCGUGCCAGCAGCCGCGGUAAUACGGAGGAUCCAAGCGUUAUCCGGAAUCAUUGGGUUUAAAGGGUCCGUAGGUGGAUAAUUAAGUCAGAGGUGAAAGUCUGCAGCUCAACUGUAGAAUUGCCUUUGAUACUGGUUAUCUUGAGUUAUUAUGAAGUAGUUAGAAUAUGUAGUGUAGCGGUGAAAUGCAUAGAUAUUACAUAGAAUACCAAUUGCGAAGGCAGAUUACUAAUAAUCAACUGACACUGAUGGACGAAAGCGUGGGGAGCGAACAGGAUUAGAUACCCUGGUAGUCCACGCCGUAAACGAUGGUUACUAGCUGUUCGAACUUCGGUUUGAGUGGCUAAGCGAAAGUGAUAAGUAACCCACCUGGGGAGUACGUUCGCAAGAAUGAAACUCAAAGGAAUUGACGGGGGCCCGCACAAGCGGUGGAGCAUGUGGUUUAAUUCGAAGCAACGCGCAGAACCUUACCAACCCUUGACAUCCUGUGCUACAUCCAGAGAUGGAUGGUUCCCUUCGGGGACGCAGUGACAGGUGCUGCAUGGCUGUCGUCAGCUCGUGUCGUGAGAUGUUCGGUUAAGUCCGGCAACGAGCGCAACCCACAUCUUUAGUUGCCAGCAGUUCGGCUGGGCACUCUAGAGAAACUGCCCGUGAUAAGCGGGAGGAAGGUGUGGAUGACGUCAAGUCCUCAUGGCCCUUACGGGUUGGGCUACACACGUGCUACAAUGGUAGGGACAGAGAGCAGCCACUGGGCGACCAGGAGCGAAUCUAUAAACCCUAUCACAGUUCGGAUCGGAGUCUGCAACUCGACUCCGUGAAGUCGGAAUCGCUAGUAAUCGCGUAACAGCAUGACGCGGUGAAUACGUUCCCGGGCCUUGUACACACCGCCCGUCACACCAUGGGAGUGGGAUGCAAAAGAAGUGGAUAGUCUAACCUUCGGGAGGACGUUCACCACUUUGUGUUUCAUGACUGGGGUGAAGUCGGAACAAGGUAACCCUAGGGGAAC
rnacentral:rRNA from 1 species